UACGUAGGGGGCAAGCGUUGUCCGGAUUUAUUGGGCGUAAAGAGCGUGUAGGCGGCCAUGUAGGUCCGUUGUGAAAACUCGAGGCUCAACCUCGAGACGCCGAUGGAAACCAUGUGGCUAGAGUCCGGAAGAGGAGAGUGGAAUUCCUGGUGUAGCGGUGGAAUGCGCAGAUAUCAGGAGGAACACCUAUAGCGAAGGCAGCUUGCUGGGACGUUACUGACGCUAAGGCGCGAAAGCGUGGGGAGCGAACGAGG
rnacentral:rRNA from 1 species